UUUUCUUUUUAAAAUAUUAUAUAUACAAUAUAAUCACUCAGGUGGAGUACAGCUUACAUGUAAUAUAUACUUAACUGUGGCCAUCACACCAAAGUUUGGCGCUUCUACUGUCACGCUUCUGGCGGCGGAAUUGAAUACCAAAAAAAACCCUAUGUACCUGAAUAACCGUUGCUACUGGCUCUCUUCCUUCUCGACCAUAGAAAGAAACACACGCAGCGGCAGCAACGCGAACACGUGUUCCUCUCUUUGUCCAAAGAUUCUUGUUCAGUUUUGUGUAAGAUUUAUAUAAGUCAGUUUUUGUUACAUUUUUAAUAAAGAAAUAUUCAUAUAACAUUGUUCACCUCGUUAACUUAAUUAUUUGAAUAUAGUUGAACUCGCUAUAUAACACGAUUGUGGUACAAUACUAUCAAAGAACAGUACAAACUGUCAAAGAAUACAGUAUUCUUUGAUAAAUUGUUCUAAAUGUGAUAAUCUUCUACUACAAUAAAUAACAGUGAACCCAACAUGUUACACACCGGCAUCGAGUAAGUUUUAAUUUAUAGAAGUGCUCAGGGGACCUAAUGGAGAUUUUCUUGAAAACUCGCCUGGCAAUCAACAUGCUGCUGUAUGGCAGAGUUAUCAGUUUUCGCCAUCAGAGGCGUGACGGUAAGAGUGCCGGUGGCGCCAAGCUUUGGCGUGACGGCCACACUUUAAAAGUCAUCAAAAAAGAAAGGUUAAUAUAUAUCUAUAAAAUAAAACUUAAAUUGUUUUUAUCACAUUUAUAUGAUAUAUACUAUAUGACUAUCAUAAAUUAAAGGAUAUCUGUUCUAACUGCUAUGAAAUUAGUUAAUUGCAACGAGUGAAAAAAAUACUAAUUAAGAAUAGAGCAUGAAAUAGUAUCUUAAUAACUAUAAUUUAUGUGUAUACUUUUAAAUAUAUCUGAUUGUUGUGUACAUUGAAUUUAUUUUGAUUAUUUUUUUUUCACUUAGAAUACAUUUGAAGUUUUGAAAGAA
rnacentral:lncRNA from 1 species